CUCCCUCCCUCCCUCCCUCGAAUAUAUGAGGAGCCAUGAAAAGUAUUGCAUGUUCUAGCGAUGGCUGGAUGGCUCUUCUUUGUUUCUGAUAGUUGAGGGGAGUGUCGUCUGGUACGAAGCCAUUGGAACAAACAAAGAGCAACUUCUCACUCCAUUUCUUGUGCUGGCAAAUGGUUUCGGACCAGGCUUCAUUCCCCCUAACUAGUGGCAGUGGUUGUUUCUCCCUUAGUUUCUCCACAAGCACAAGGGUUUGUUCAGUAGGAGGGUUAGAGAGUUUGGUGUGAUAGGAGCUUCGACUUUCUUGUCAGACAAGCAGGAAAUGGAUUCUUCACAGUAGCUUCACUUCAAAGGCUCUUUGUUGCACUGCCAUUAUUGCCUUGCCCUAACAAGUGGAAUAAAGAUUUGAUGCUUGCUUUUGCUUCUUUCUUUUGGUAGAUGUGCUUCUAAUCAGCUAACAAAAGAAUCUGUAAUUCAUCGAGAUGUGAUCCGAUGUUAAGGUGUUUUUUCUCCUCA